rnacentral:rRNA from 1 species
GGAGUUAGCCGGUGCUUCUUCUGCGAGUAACGUCACAGAUGUAAGGUAUUAACUUACACCCUUUCCUCCUCGCUGAAAGUGCUUUACAACCCGAAGGCCUUCUUCACACACGCGGCAUGGCUGCAUCAGGGUUUCCCCCAUUGUGCAAUAUUCCCCACUGCUGCCUCCCGUAGGAGUCUGGGCCGUGUCUCAGUCCCAGUGUGGCUGAUCAUCCUCUCAGACCAGCUAGGGAUCGUCGCCUAGGUGAGCCUUUACCUCACCUACUAGCUAAUCCCACCUGGGCUUAUCCAUCAGCGCAAGGCCCGAAGGUCCCCUGCUUUCCCCCGUAGGGCGUAUGCGGUAUUAGCAGUCGUUUCCAACUGUUAUCCCCCACAAAUGGGCAAAUUCCCAGGCAUUACUCACCCGUCCGCCGCUCGUCAUCUUCAAAAGCAAGCUUUUGAAAUGUUACCGCUCGACUUGCAUGUGUUAGGCCUGCCGCCAGCGUUCAAUCUGAGCCAGU